rnacentral:rRNA from 1 species
UACGUAGGGGGCAAGCGUUGUCCGGAAUCAUUGGGCGUAAAGCGCGUGUAGGCGGCCCGAUAAGUCCGCUGUGAAAGUCCAGGGCUCAACCCUGGGAUGCCGGUGGAUACUGUCGGGCUCGAGUCCGGAAGAGGCGAGUGGAAUUCCUGGUGUAGCGGUGAAAUGCGCAGAUAUCAGGAAGAACACCCGUGGCGAAGGCGGCUCUCUGGGACGUGACUGACGCUGAGACGCGAAAGCGUGGGGAGCGAACAGG